AAGUCGUAACAAGGUCUCCGUAGGUGAACCUGCGGAGGGAUCAUUACCGAGUGAGGGCCCCCCGGCCCCAACCUCCGAACCCCAUUUCGUCAAAACCCCUGAACCCCUGUUCGCCUUCCGGGGGACGGUCCGGCCGUCUUCGGGCGGCCGGGCCCCCGGUCGGAGCCCCCAACCCACUCUGCGUCUUUGCGUCUGAGUCUUGAAUGAUAAAUCAAUAAAA
rnacentral:misc_RNA from 1 species